GUAUGUGAAAGUGUUGAAUAGAAGGCUUACUUUGGAAUGGCUAUACCCGUUUAAAAAAAAGACUGAAAAUACAC
rfam:TPA: Bos taurus chromosome 1, whole genome shotgun sequence.